GCACAGACACUAAAAUUGGAACAAUACAGAGAAGAUUAGUAUAGCCCCAGGGCAAGGAUGACACACAAAUUUGUGAAGAGUUCCAUAUUUUU
ensembl:snRNA U6 U6 spliceosomal RNA